AGAGUUUGAUCAUGGCUCAGAUUGAACGCUGGCGGCAGGCUUAACACAUGCAAGUCGAGCGGGGGAGAUUGCUUCGGUAAUUGACCUAGCGGCGGACGGGUGAGUAAUACUUAGGAAUCUGCCUAUUAAUGGGGGACAACAUCUCGAAAGGGAUGCUAAUACCGCAUACGCCCUACGGGGGAAAGCAGGGGACCUUCGGGCCUUGCGCGAUUGGAUAUGCCCAGGUGGGAUUAGCUAGUUGGUGAGGUAAUGGCUCACCAAGGCGACGACGGAUAGGGGGUCUGAGAGGAUGUUCCCCCACAAUGGCACUGAGACAAGGGCCAUACACCUACGGGUGGCAGCAAUUAGGAAUCUUGCACAAUGGACGAAAGUCUGAUGCAGCGACGCCGCGUGAAGGAUGAAGGCCGAGAGGUUGUAAACUUCUUAAUUCCGCAUUUGCGGGAGGAUGAAGCCGUGGCUAAUUACGUGCCAGCAGCAGCGGUAAAACGUAAGCGGCGAGCGUUAUCCGGAUUUACUGGGCGUAAAGGGUGCGUAGGCGCCUUGAUCAGUCUCGGCUGAAAGCCCGCGGCUCAACCGCGGAACGCGUCGGGAUACUAUCAGGGUUGAGGGAGGUAGGGGGUGGCGGAAUCUCGCAAGGAGGGGUGAAAUCCGAUGAUCUGCGAGAGAACACCGAAGGCGAAGGCAGCCACCUGGGCCUUUCCUGACGCUGAGGCACGAAAGCUAGGGUAGCGAAACGGAUUAGAUACCCGUGUAGUCCUAGCCGUAAACGAUGGACACUAGCUAUCCCGUUAGGGGUAGCGUAAGCUAACGCGUUAAGUGUCCCGCCU
rnacentral:rRNA from 1 species